GGCGGCGUGCCUAAUACAUGCGAGUCGAGCGAAGUUUUUCUGGUGCUUGCACUAGAUAAACUUAGCGGCGAACGGGUGAGUAACACGUAAAGAACCUGCCUCAUAGACUGGGACAACUAUUGGAAACGAUAGCUAAUACCGGAUAACAGUAUUUCUCGCAUGAGAGAUAUUUAAAAGUUGGUUAUGCUAACACUAUGAGAUGGCUUUGCGGUGCAUUAGCUAGUUGGUGGGGUAAAGGCCCACCAAGGCGACGAUGCAUAGCCGACCUGAGAGGGUGAUCGGCCACACUGGGACUGAGACACGGCCCAGACUCCUACGGGAGGCAGCAGUAGGGAAUCUUCCGCAAUGGGCGAAAGCCUGACGGAGCAACGCCGCGUGAGUGAAGAAGGAUUUCGGUUCGUAAAGCUCUGUUGUUAGGGAAGAAUGGAUAUGUAGCAACUAUACAUAUAAGAGACGGUACCUAACCAGAAAGCCACGGCA
rnacentral:rRNA from 1 species